rnacentral:lncRNA from 1 species
GGAUGUCAGACUCCCGUUCCACUUCAUAUGUCAGCAUGUCAGUCAUUCGAGGAGUGUCUACAAGCAAGUGACAGAAGGAGGUUCAGCCCUAACUUAUCUAACCCUCUUCAGGCUGAAGACAAAAAGAUAAGACUAAGGACUGUCUACAAAUGCAACCCCCCUCUAGAUAUAGUCUUUCUGAGCUUGCAAUUAGCAGCAGAAAGGAUUUUAGGCAAAGGUUCAGAAAGGAUGUUACAAGGAGUGAUGGAAAGGAACCAUUUGUGAGGAAGAUAGCAUCACUGCCAAGCCCUGAAGUCCUUGUGAGAGGAACAUGCUGCGUAAAACAUUGUGGGAUUAGUGAGCAUCUGGGCAUCUUAAAUUUUGACUGGCAAUUGACUCUAACUUCAACAGACGAAGAUCCACCCUUCAUCCAGCUCUCCAGGAAUAACAGUAAUUGGAGGUAGAAUAAAGCAUUAGUCACAGACAGCUCCUGCUUAGGCUCUGAAACCUGUAAGGCAUCUGGAGAAUGCUGGAGUCUGGCUUCCUUGAACUGAGAACAUCAAAGGCAAUGAGAAAGACUGAGAGGAUUAGGGGAGGAAUUGCUGGCCACGUGGGAAGUUUAUCAUUCUCAAGACCUGCUGCACUCUUUUCCCAACUGGCUGCACUGUUUUAAAACCCCACGUGCAGAGUAUGAGCCUUCCAGUCUCCUCAUCCUCGUCCAUGGUUGUUACUAUCUGUCCUUUUAUUGCCGCCACCCUAGAAGGAUGUGACAUGUCCUUGUGAUUUUGAUUGGCAUUCCCCUGGCGAUUAAUAACUUGAGCAUCUUUUCUCAUGUUUAACACUUUAUUUAUUUUACGUGUUUGUAUGUGGUAUGUGUGUAUGUGAGAGAGAGUGUGUGUGUGUGUGUGUGUGCGUGAGAGAGAGAGAGAGAGAGAGAGAGAGAGACUCCAGUUCUCUCCUUCUGUCAUGUGAGCAGGGUCCUGAGACUAGAACCCAGUCAUCGGGUGCCUUUACCCUCUCAGCCGUCUCACCAACUCAAGCCCCUUGUAUAUUUUUUCUUUAAAGAGAUGUCUAUUGGGGUUAUCAAUCAUUUCAUUGGACAGUCACAAUAUGGCUGCCUUUCUCCAUGUGGCACAGG